UGAAACCGACUUGUUCACUUCUCAUAGCUAAAAUCUAUUCCCCACACUAUUAAACAUGAGAAAAGGUGAUGUAUAGUGCUGUUGAAACCACCUACUUUUCUACUGACCUAAAUGAUCACAUCUUUUCCUUUUCCUUUCUGGAUGUAGCUUUGGAAUCAAACCCUUCUGAUCAUCUAAAGGAAACACCAAUCUUCCCAAGCAAAUGUCAAUCGUAUGCCCAUGAUUGGAAGCAGAACACCACUUUGAAAUAUGUAACACCAGGGCAGCUUCCCAGGAUGUACAGCUCCUGCUUAGCAAUAUUUCUAGAUGACAGCACACUCAGCCAGCCUAAUUGUGCCAACAUAAUACAAUGUGUCAUCUUUGCACUAUAUUAUCACAUAGAGAAUAGGGAGGCAAAUAGAUCCCUGGAUAUUUUUGAUGAGAGAUUGCCUCCAAUGACAAAAUCAACUAGAAAUGCAUUACCUGAAUAUUCUUCACUUUACUCUUAAUGUGUCUGCCAGUGUUUAUGCAAAAUAGUACUUUGACCUUCGCUCUUUGAUAAAAGAUCACCACCUGCAUUUUGCAUCUGCACCUCUCACCAAGGAAAGAGCACAGAACUUAGAGGCUAUGUCAACAUUUUGUGAAGAUGAAGACUUGUGCAGAGCUGCUAUGAAGCUAUCUCACAGCAAUGGCAAUGUCAUGGGUAUUCGACUGUCAAAUGCCAUCCUCUCAUAAAAGGAAGAAAUGGAGACUUCAGCUCAGAAUCUCAUCAUUUACCAAAGCUGAAGUGAUACCACCUAUCUCUUGAUUACACAAAAAACUUACAACCUUCAACAUUUUACCAAAAGGAAAUACCUUGAACUUAAGCAACUCCUGGACAGAGAAGGCCAUAGUUCAUGAGAAAAGAACUUGAUAACACAGCAACACAUGACAUCAUGAUGUCCUCAUUCACAAAAGAUGAAGAAAUAAUAACGACCUAUGCCUGGAGAACAAAAUCAACAAUUUGAAUAUUUUUAUCAGAAGGAAAGAUCAGUAAUUUAAGGAACUCUUGGAGAAUGAAAGGAGUACCUCAUGAAAGAGAAACUACUUAAAGCAGGAACACAUAACCUUUCUUGAUUGAUCUGAGCAGCGCUACAAACACUGCAAAGCAGGAGCACCCUGCUGACAGAGACAUUUACUUACUUCACAGGCCAAAGUCUGUGAGUUUCAUUAGUUUCUGGAAAUAAGACUUCAAAUUUAAACUCAUUUAAAAUUUCAAUUUUUAAAAUUAGAUCAUGAACACAUCAAAGACCUAAUUU